rnacentral:rRNA from 1 species
AGUGAACGCUGGCGGCGUGCCUAAUACAUGCAAGUCGAACGGAGUGGCGCACGGGUGAGUAAUGUAUAGCUAAUCUGCCCUACACUAGAGGACAACAGUUGGAAACGACUGCUAAUACUCUAUAGUGUAGGUUGAGGCUAUAUUGUAUCAGCUAGUUGGUGAGGUAAUGGCUCACCAAGGCUAUGACGCAUAACUGGUCGGAGGGGAUGAGCAGUCACACUGGAAGUGAGGCACGGUCCAGACUCCUAGGGGAGGCGGCAGAAGGGAAUAUUGCUCAAGGGGGGAAACCCGAGAGGGGCAACGCCGCGUGGAGGAUGACACUUUGCGGGGCGUAAACUCCUUUUGUUAGGUAAGCGUUACCUAACGAAUAAGCACCGGCUAACUCCGUGCCAGCAGCCGCGGUAAUUC